rnacentral:misc_RNA from 1 species
GCCCAAUUUCAAGCCAAUGCAAUGUGUAGUCUACCAGUUUGAUAUUCACACGGGUCCAUGGUUCUCAACACACACGAACACAGUUUCUUUAUAUCAACGAUAAAACUCCUAAACUCCAGAGAAAAUUGUGGGGACAAAGACAGAAGAUCUUAAGAUGAAUUGUAAGGGAAAAAAAGGAUGGUACUAGGAGAGAUAGAGAGAAACAGAAAAAAGUCAAAAGACAAUAAAAAUUUAAAAGCAAAAAGAAUGAGAUAUCCUUGAUAAACAAAUAACAAAAGAAAACUAUAGAACAUUUGUCUCACUGCAGUGAGACAAA